rnacentral:rRNA from 1 species
CCUACGGGAGGCAGCAGUGGGGAAUUUUGGACAAUGGGCGAAAGCCUGAUCCAGCAAUGCCGCGUGCAGGAAGAAGGCCUUCGGGUUGUAAACUGCUUUUGUACGGAACGAAACGGUCUGCUUUAAUACAGUGGGCUAAUGACGGUACCGUAAGAAUAAGCACCGGCUAACUACGUGCCAGCAGCCGCGGUAAUACGUAGGGUGCGAGCGUUAAUCGGAAUUACUGGGCGUAAAGCGUGCGCAGGCGGUUAUAUAAGACAGUUGUGAAAUCCCCGGGCUCAACCUGGGAAUUGCAUCUGUGACUGUAUAGCUAGAGUACGGUAGAGGGGGAUGGAAUUCCGCGUGUAGCAGUGAAAUGCGUAGAUAUGCGGAGGAACACCGAUGGCGAAGGCAAUCCCCUGGACCUGUACUGACGCUCAUGCACGAAAGCGUGGGGAGCAAACAGGAUUAGAUACCCUGGUAGUCCACGCCCUAAACGAUGUCAACUGGUUGUUGGGUGCAUUAGUACUCAGUAACGAAGCUAACGCGUGAAGUUGACCGCCUGGGGAGUACGGCCGCAAGGUUGAAACGUUAAAGGAAUUGACGGCUGAGACGNGCGACGACGACGACGAGGGAGGAGG